UACAGAGGUCCCAAGCGUUGUUCGGAUUUAUUGGGCGUAAAGGGUGCGUAGGUGGCCAGGUAAGUUUGGUGUGAAAGCUCGGAGCUUAACUCCGAAAAGUCAUUGAAUACUAUCUGGCUGGAGGGUCGGAGGGGAGACUGGAAUUCUCGGUGUAGCAGUGAAAUGCGUAGAUAUCGAGAGGAACACCAGUGGCGAAGGCGAGUCUCUGGACGACUCCUGACACUGAGGCACGAAAGCUAGGGGAGCAAACAGG
rnacentral:rRNA from 1 species